GACUGGCAACAGACGUUAGCUUAGGUGCCAAUCUUUAAAAAACAAAAUAAAAGAAAAUAAAAAAUAAGGAAAUAUGAACCCCAUGAAGGAAUCAACUGUAUCUAUAACUACCAAACUUCAUUGUGUUGCUUUAAAAAGUUUUUUCUUUAAGGGGAAAAGAAAAGAUUCUCUCACUGGAGAGGUCAGGUUGCACGGUACUCCAGUACCCAGCGCAUAAUCUGGGCCCCAAAGGCUCCAAACUCGGGCUGCUGCUGUCAAAGCAGACGGCACACACUGUGUGUAUCCCACUGUCUAACUGCCAGCCAAGCAGAGUUCCUGACCCCUCAAACCACAGUGCUCCAAACUUGGCCAUAGCUGAGAAAGUACAGGAGUAACCUAACUGCAGACAAUGGCUAAAGAUCCUAAGUUUCAGAAUUUUAAGUCAAAUAGCUGAAAACCCUUUCUAUGCACAAAAUCUGAUAUUCAGCUGUAUCAUUUGGUGGUCUGCUGAAUUCAUGGGGAAAACAUUAUAUUUUCACCAAACCUACUGUAUAUGAAAAACAUAUGAUGAACAAUUGUCAUAAUUAUUCAAAACAUAUACAUUCACUUCAACAAAAUUCAAGGUUGUUUAUCCAACAUGCAUUUUACUCAGGAUUCUGUUUUCCAUCAUUAUUUGACUCUGCUCUAACACUAUUUUAAGAGUCAUUUAGAAGAUGGUGGGUAGUUUUUCUAGAUGGUAGCUCUUAACUGUAUUGAUAAGAAGUUUAUUGGGGUAGAUGACAGUUUAGAGCUGUAAGAGCCUUGAGAGAGAGUAAGCAGUUUAACUCAAGAGGCAGAGAAAGAAGAAGAAAUGAGACUCAGAGAAGUGGAACAUAUCCAGCGGUACACACAUACAAAUCUUAAUGGUGAAAAAGAGAAUGGAGUGGACACCGGAAUUCUAGCCCAGCUGGAACAACAAGUAGCCAUGCAACCUGGGAAAGGUCAUUUUCUUGUUUGGCAUUAGCUUCCUCAGCUACAAAACAAAGAUUAGAUUUAUGGUCCCCUCCAACUCUAAAAUCCUGUGUCUAAAAUUUUCCUUUUUCUUAUUCCUAGACCGCACUGCUGUAUAUCACAAAGGUCCUAACAAAAUCAGGGCUCUCACCAGAGAAACAACUGAAUGAAACACAGAGCCAAAUGCAUGACAUAUUUGGGGACUGGGCAGAGGAAGGAACAAUGCUUAUGACACCAACCCACUGCAGCAGACCUGAACACUGCCAAGACAGGUCAGAGUGCUAGAGCAAAGCGGACUGGGGACAGAAGUCGAGUGCAAUCACUCCCUCCAUUGCUAUUUGUUUCCUAUGACAGGUCAUCAAAAAUGAGGAGAGCCUAAGAAACUAGAACAGCCAAGAGGAGCCUAAGGAGGCAUGACAAGUAAAUGUAACGUGGUGUCCUGGAUGGGAUCCAGGAACAGAUAAAGGACAUCAGUUCCUGGCUCAUGGCUCCCAAAACCACUGGAAUUUCAAUUUCCUAAGUUAUGAGAACCAUAAAGGUGCCAUUUGUUAUGUUAACAAGAUGACCUUUGGACUCACCUAAGGGUGGGAGCUGGUUGCCAACCAUGUGAUUAGAGGGUUGGAACUUCCAAGUCCCGCUCCCAGACCUCUAGGGUGGGGAGAAGGGAGAAGAAAGAGGAGCUAGAGAUUAAGUUAGUCACCAAUGGCCAAUGAUUUAACCAAUCAUACCCAUGUAAUGAAGCCUCCAUAAAAACCCAAAAGGACCGGGUUUGGGGAGCUUCCAGGUUGGUGAACACAUGGAGGCGCUGGGAGAGUGGCGCGCCCGGAGAGAGCUUGGGAACCCCAUGCCUCUUCCCUCAUACCUUGCCCUGUUCAUCUCUUCCAUCUGGAUGUUCAUUUGUACCCUUUACCAUAUCUUUUAACAAUCUGGUAAACGUGAGUUAAGUGUUUUCCUUAGUUUUGUGAGCUGUUCUAGCAAAUUUAUCGAACCCGGGGAGAGGGUUAUGUGAACCUGUGAUUUAUAGUCUGUUAGUCAGAAGUACAGGUAAAAACCUGGACUUGAGACUCGCAUCUGAAACUUAAGGAGGGGGGUCACUGUAACCCCAGCCUAUAACCAUUCAGUCUGCUGGUGUCUGGAGAAUUAUUCGGUGCUGUGUGGGAGCCCUACACACACAAACACUGGAAUUGUUACCAGAACCAAAAGAGGCAGUACGGUUAUGUUCAUUUUUCAUUGUGGUGAUGGUUUCACAGGUGUAUACUUAUGUCAAAACUUAUCAAAUUGUGGGGCUGGCCCAGUUGCGCAGUGGUUAAGUUUGUGCACUCUGCUUCAGCGGCCCAGG